UGCAGCUGUGUCAAAUGCAGUACUUGCCCACCUUAUGGCAGUCGCUGGCCUAAAAAUUUGCUGAUUCUCUCAUCUGGGUCUCAGGGAUAAGUUUAGUUACAGAUACUA
ensembl:snoRNA